rnacentral:rRNA from 1 species
GAUGAACGCUGGCGGCGUGCUUAACACAUGCAAGUCGAACGAUGAAGCUCAGCUUGCUGGGUGGAUUAGUGGCGAACGGGUGAGUAACACGUGAGUAACCUGCCCUUAACUCUGGGAUAAGCCUGGGAAACUAGGUCUAAUACCGGAUAGGAGCGCCUACCGCAUGGUGGGUGUUGGAAAGAUUUAUCGUUUUUGGAUGGACUCGCGCCCUAUCAGCUUGUAGGUGAGGGAAUGGCUCACCAAGGGAACGACGGGUAGCCGACCUGAGAGGGUGAUCGGCCACACCGGAACUGAGACACGGUCCAGACUCCUAAGGGAGGCAGCCGUAGGAGAUCGUCCGCAAGGGGCGAAGGCCUGACGGAGGAACGCCGCGUGAGUGAUGAAGGUCUUCGGAUCGUAAAAAACUGUUAUUAGGGAUGAACAAAUGUGUAAGGAAAUAUGCACGUCUUGACGGUACCUAAGCAGAAAGCCACGGCUCACUACGUG